GACGAACGCUGGCGGCGUGCUUAACACAUGCAAGUCGAACGGAAAGGCCCUGCUUUUGUGGGGUGCUCGAGUGGCGAACGGGUGAGUAACACGUGAGUAACCUGCCCUUGACUUUGGGAUAACUUCAGGAAACUGGGGCUAAUACCGGAUAGGAGCUCCUGCUGCAUGGUGGGGGUUGGAAAGUUUCGGCGGUGGGGGAUGGACUCGCGGCUUAUCAGCUUGUUGGUGGGGUAGUGGCUUACCAAGGCUUUGACGGGUAGCCGGCCUGAGAGGGUGACCGGCCACAUUGGGACUGAGAUACGGACCAGACGGCUACGGGAGGCAGCGGGGGGGAAUAUUGCACAAUGGGCGGAAGCGUGUGGCAGCAACGCCGCGUGCGGGAUGACGGCCUUCUGGGUGUAAACCGCUUUCGCCUGUGACGAAGCGUGAGUGACGGUAAUGGGUAAAGAAGCACCGGCUAACUACGUG
rnacentral:rRNA from 1 species